UACAGAGGGUGCAAGCGUUGUUCGGAAUUAUUGGGCGUAAAGCGCGUGUAGGCGACUUUGCAAGUCGGGUGUGAAAGCCCUCGGCUCAACCGAGGAAGUGCGCCCGAAACUGCAGAGCUUGAGUACCGGAGAGGAUGGCGGAAUUCCCCAAGUAGAGGUGAAAUUCGUAGAUAUGGGGAGGAACACCGGUGGCGAAGGCGGCCAUCUGGACGGAUACUGACGCUGAGACGCGAAAGCGUGGGUAGCAAACAGG
rnacentral:rRNA from 1 species